GAAUGUGUGCAUGAAGAUACAAUGAGCAGCCAGACGAUGGAAAUCACCUGCUUAGACUCUGUCAGGCUGGAGAACGGAUCCAGUCGGUGUUCAGGCAGGCUGGAGGUGAAGUCCAACAACUCGUGGUCCUCCGUGUGUGAAGAUGACUUUGACCUGCUGGAUGCAGAGGUGGUCUGUAGGGAGCUGGGCUGUGGGGCUCCGUCAGUCCUCCAGGGGGCGCCGUAUGCAGAAUCAGAGGCUCCAAAGUGGAACAAAGAGUUUCUCUGUCAAGGUCACGAGUCUGCUCUCCUGGACUGCAACCACGCCAGACCAGAGAGAAGCUGCUUAGCGGACAAAGUUGUUGACCUCACCUGUUUAGGUGGAGGAGGAGCCACAGCUUUAAAACUGGUGACACGUGUGAUUAUUUAUCAAUAACGUAUCUGUUUGUGCCUACAUGAAGGAAUCAUCCGCUUGGAGGGAGACGUCAGUCACUGUGCUGGAACACUGGAGAUGUUUUACGGUGGAGAAUGGGGACCAGUAGCUGAUUCUAACUGGAGCCGGGACUCCGCCUCUGCAGUGUGCGCUCAGCUGGGUUGUGGUUCUGCUCUGUCUUCUAGAAGCAAAGACAACUUUCUAAACAGAUCUGUGUGGUGGAUCCAGCCUCCGUGUGGCCUAUCACUGGAAGGCUGUAAUAUUAUGCAUGUGGUUGAUCACAGCGAAUCUACUCUUGAAAUAUUAUGUUCAGUCUCUGUUGUCGGUUUGAUGAUCCGUUGGUGUGUCGUCUCGGUGGGUUUGAUGGCGAUGAUCCUCGUCACCUGCUUCUACGCCACGGUACUGAACACACAAAUACAGGACCAGAAGUUUUUUUAAAGUGACGGUGAAUUGUUGUGUUUUAGACCGACAGAAAACCAGACGGAGAACAC